CCUGACCCUGGAGGCAUUGCAGAUGUGACUGCUGUGUCACAUGUGUGUCAGUGGGUGGCAGAUAGGGGAGGGGCUAUGUCUAAGCUCAGUGUUCUGACCUAUAGACAUCUGAAUAGUUAGUAGCCUAACAUU